GGAUAACCUACCCUUAGGACUGGGAUAACCCUGGGAAACUGGGGCUAAUACCGGAUAGGCAAUUAUUCCUGCAAUGGUUUUUUGUUUAAAUGUUUUUUCGCCUAAGGAUGGGUCUGCGGCCGAUUAGGUAGUUGGUUAGGUAAUGGCUUACCAAGCCGUUGAUCGGUACGGGUUGUGAGAGCAAGAGCCCGGAGAUGGAACCUGAGACAAGGUUCCAGGCCCUACGGGGUGCAGCAGGCGCGAAACCUCCGCAAUGUGAGAAAUCGCGACGGGGGGAUCCCAAGUGCCAUUCUUAACGGGAUGGCUUUUCAUUAGUGUAAAGAGCUUUUGGAAUAAGAGCUGGGCAAGACCGGUGCCAGCCGCCGCGGUAACACCGGCAGCUCUAGUGGUAACAAUUUUUAUUGGGCCUAAAGCGUCCGUAGCCGGUUUAAUAAGUCUCUGGUGAAAUCCUGUAGCUUAACUGUGGGAAUUGCUGGAGAUACUAUUAGACUUGAGACCGGGAGAGGUUAGAGGUACUCCCAGGGUAGAGGUGAAAUUCUGUAAUCCUGGGAGGACCGCCUGUUGCGAAGGCGUCUAACUGGAACGGUUCUGACGGUGAGGGACGAAAGUUAGGGGCGCGAACCGGAUUAGAUACCCGGGUAGUCCUAACUGUAAACGAUGCGGACUUGGUGUUGGGGUGGCUUUGAGCUGCUCCAGUGCCGAAGGGAAGCUGUUAAGUCCGCCGCCUGGGAAGUACGUCGCAAGACUGAAACUUAA
rnacentral:rRNA from 1 species